CCCACCACUCUCUCUAUCUCAGGAACUCCGCACGAUCUCCUCGGUCCACCCCACCCGGCUCCUCUCCCCACGAUCUCCUCACCGCCGCCCCCACCCACGCCGGCCGGUUCCGGCGAGCGCCGGCCGCGCGCAACACCCCACCUCCUCCUCCUCCCCCUCCCUUCCCCUUCCUCCUCUGCCCGCCCCUUCUCUCUCCUUCCUCCCGGCGGCCGGCGAUGGGCGCGGACGAGGAGGAGCACCAGUCCCCUGCGCGGAAGCGCGAGCGCGAGGAGGGGGAGGAGCCCGCGGCCGCCGACGAGAAGCGCCCGCGCACGACGGACAAGUCGGAGGGCGUUUACCAGGAGAGGCCGCCCCGAAGCCUCUCGCCGCCGGAAACCCUCGCCGCCCAUCUCCACCGGAGCACCGGCGAGAAGCCGUCCUCCUCCCGAUAAGGAAGCCCUUAUCUUUCCUCGGAUUUUCCUUCGUUUCCUCGCUUACAUACGACCUCCCGCGUGAAGAACCGAGCCAGAUCGAGUCCGGUCCGGCCGGCCAGCCCGGAUCUCCCCCGUCCGAGGCCGGUCUCGCCCCCCGCCUGUAGCGCGCGUAGGCACUAGGUAGGCAGGGCCGUCACCAUGGCGCUCCAUCGGGCGCCCAUGUAUUCCGCCACGGAACUCUAAGGAUUUGGGGGUCGAUUCGGGGACCAAAUCGGGGGAUCACUGGAGGCUCAGGGGCGAUGCAGAUCGAUGAUGUGUUAGUGCCUCAGGUCUAAGCUGCAUGAUUGGGCUGCAGGUGCUGUUCCUGAUCGCUCCAUCAUGCUACAUACAUACAUUGUGCAAUUCGUUGCCGGAUCGGUGAUACCCAACGGCUUCGUUUUCGGCUCUACUCUGGCCAAUGUUUCGGUCUCCGUCCGGCUAUCUGCCAGCUUGGAGUUGUCAUCAGUUUAUUUGUGCACUUCAUCAAUUUAUACACAAACAUGCUGUACCGAGAUAGCUUAAAUUUGCUACCUAUGUUCAGAUGCGUGCUUGCCUGUUUCUGUAGACCUAUGUGCUAGACUCUUAACACAUGAAUGACGAGUAUUGAAUGCGAAGCUUCGUUCAGUCUCACAGUGUCAUAGGUUUUCGACAAUCCGGCAACUUCUUUGUGCUAGUGUGUCAUGCUUACAUGACAAAGGACUUGAUGUUUAAUUUUUAUAGAUCUGGCUACUACUAUAUGCAAAUAGGGAAAAUGUGAAUUAAAGUUUCUUUAUUUAUCCCAGUAUUACUCUACGUAAUUAGUUAUGCUUAUAUAUUAUGGGAUUAUAAGUCAAGACAUCUGAAGAAAAUGAAUAUCAUUUUUGCUCCUUUGCUGCAGGGAAAAGAAACAUGUGCAGAUGUUGAGGUAGUCAUAUCCAGUGAACCCAGGGAAGUCAUUCAUUUGUCAUGCCAUGGAAGUAUUGUUUGAAGUUUCCUUGCUGUCAAGACUUUUUUUUCAACAUCUAUGAGGUGGCAAGCAAAGUUAUGGUAACUGCAGCUCAUAUCAGGGUGACCAACAAGGACUACUGCGGCCCGAUGGGAGUCGUGCUCUUCAACUACUCGGAGGCAGACUUCACCGUGAAGCCUCGCGACCGCGUCAUAUAGAUUAUCGUCCAGGUGAUUGCGACGCAGGAGGUCCCCGGGGUGGAGGACCUCGACGCCACCGUCUGGAGGUCACCGAGGUGGAGGACGACGCCACCGUCCGGAGUUCCUCAAGGUGGAGGACCUUGACUCAUUGUACGUACAUCUAGAGAAGUGGUCUGUUUAGGUUGGUGGUGAAACGCUAGGGAAGGUACCAACCUUUUGAUGAUGGUUGUGUGCAUCGAUCUCUUCGUGUUGAGAUGUUCAAUGCUGCAUCCAUGAACACUGCAAGUGUUAAGAUGGUUCUGUGAAAUUUAUUUUGCAUUGGAUGUGUCUCUGAUCUCCA